UGUUUCGAUGCUUAAUGUUUACAUCACAGCCAUGCUCUUAAAUACUGUUACUCUUGUUACACUAUUGCAUGGUUGGAUAUCUUGUGGAUUUCAACUUCUUUCAGGUUUCUUAAGAUCAUAGAUUUUAAGAAAAUUCCUAUCUUGCUAUAACUGAUUUACAGGCAUUGUUGACUGCAAUUUUCAUCUGUAUAGUUGUUCCUACAGGUUUAUUUAUUCCAUAAUGUAAUUUCUUUGUUGGUAAACAGUUGUCAAUUGGUGAGGGCCUGGCCAGAAUUCCUCCUCUCACAAAAGGUGUGAUGGUUGGAUUUUGCUGAGAUUAGAAUGGAGCCUAAUUAUGCUAUAUAGAUGCAGAAAAAAGACUAUUAUAGAACUCAGAGAGUUUAUUUUGUUGGUACUCGGGGGCAAAAGGCAUGUAAAAUGGUCAAGUUGCUGUUGUUAAAAAACAUGUAUUUAGGACAGCAUACCUGUGAACUGUAUUCGGAGAAAUUGGGAUCCCUUAUGGUAAUAGGUUUGCACUGGUGUUCAACUUUUAUGUAUUGCACUUCUUAUGGA